rnacentral:rRNA from 1 species
UGGGGAAUUUUGCGCAAUGGGCGAAAGCCUGACGCAGCAACGCCGCGUGGGGGACGAAGGCUCUCGGGUUGUAAACCCCUUUCAGGAGGGACGAAAUUGACGGUACCUCCAGAAGAAGCCCCGGCCAACUACGUGCCAGCAGCCGCGGUAACACGUAGGGGGCGAGCGUUGUCCGGAUUUAUUGGGCGUAAAGAGCUCGUAGGUGGCUCGGUAAGUCGGGUGUGAAAUUUCGAGGCUCAACCUCGAGACGCCACCUGAUACUGCUGUGGCUAGAGUCCGGUAGGGGAGCGUGGAAUUCCUGGUGUAGCGGUGAGAUGCGCAGAUAUCAGGAGGAACACCAGCGGCGAAGGCGGCGCUCUGGGCCGGUACUGACACUGAGGAGCGAAAGCGUGGGGAUCAAA